AGCGAACGCUGGCGGCAGGCCUAACACAUGCAAGUCGAGCGCCCAGCAAUGGGAGCGGCAGACGGGAUAGUAACACGUGGGAACGUACCUUUCAGUUCGGAACAACCCAGGGAAACUUGGGCUAAUACCGAAUACGUCCGUAAGGAGAAGAUUUAUCGCUGAAAGAUCGGCCCGCGUCUGAUUAGCUAGUUGGUGAGGUAACGGCUCACCAAGGCGACGAUCAGUAGCGGUCUGAGAGGAUGAUCAGCCACAUUGGGACUGAGACACGGCCCAAACUCCUACGGGAGGCAGCAGUGGGGAAUAUUGGACAAUGGGCGAAAGCCUGAUCCAGCCAUGCCGCGUGAGUGAUA
rnacentral:rRNA from 1 species